rnacentral:tRNA from 1 species
GCCCGAGUGGCGGAAUGGCAGACGCGACGGAUUCAAAAUCCGUUGUUCGAAAGGGCGUGUGGGUUCAAGUCCCACCUCGGGCACCC